rnacentral:rRNA from 1 species
GACGAACGCUGGCGGCGUGCUUAACACAUGCAAGUCGAACGGAAAGGCCCUGCUUUUGUGGGGUGCUCGAGUGGCGAACGGGUGAGUAACACGUGAGUAACCUGCCCUUGACUUUGGGAUAACUUCAGGAAACUGGGGCUAAUACCGGAUAGGAGCUCCUGCUGCAUGGUGGGGGUUGGAAAGUUUCGGCGGUUGGGGAUGGACUCGCGGCUUAUCAGCUUGUUGGUGGGGUAGUGGCUUACCAAGGCUUUGACGGGUAGCCGGCCCGAGAGGGUGACCGGCCACAUUGGGACUGAGAUACGGCCCAGACUCCUACGGGAGGCAGCAGUGGGGAAUAUUGCACAAUGGGCGGAAGCCUGAUGCAGCAACGCCGCGUGCGGGAUGACGGCCUUCGGGUUGUAAACCGCUUUCGCCUGUGACGAAGCGUGAGUGACGGCAAUGGGUAAAGAAGCACCGGCUAACUACGUG